rnacentral:rRNA from 1 species
GGGGAAUAUUGCACAAUGGGCGAAAGCCUGAUGCAGCGACGCCGCGUGAGUGAUGAAGGCCUUCGGGUCGUAAAGCUCUUUGAUCAGGGAUGAUAAUGACAGUACCUGAAAAACAAGCCACGGCUAACUACGUGCCAGCAGCCGCGGUAAUACGUAGGUGGCGAGCGUUGUCCGGAAUUAUUGGGCGUAAAGGAUGCGUAGGUGGAUAUUUAAGUGGGAUGUGAAAUCCCCGGGCUCAACCCGGGAACUGCAUUCCAUACUGGAUGUCUAGAGUGCAGGAGAGGAAAGUGGAAUUCCCAGUGUAGCGGUGAAAUGCGUAGAUAUUAGGAGGAACACCAGUGGCGAAGGCGACUUUCUGGACUGUAACUGACACUGAGGCAUGAAAGCGUGGGUUGCAAAC